rnacentral:rRNA from 1 species
UACAACUUAGCGUUAAUGCACCAAAUCCCAUUAGAACUCCACAGUUAAGUGUGCUCGGGCUAGAGUAGUAUUGGGAUGGAUGACCGCUCGUGAAGUCCUAGUAUUUUAC